UGAUUGGAGUGGGUUCUGUAACUCUGCUGUAUUACUAUCCUCCUAAAAGACCCCCAGAGUGGGGAGACCCUCACUCAAGUCUCGGGAUAAGCCGACACCCCAAUAUUUCAAGAGAGACU
rnacentral:pre_miRNA from 11 species